rnacentral:rRNA from 1 species
UACAGAGGUCCCAAGCGUUGUUCGGAUUCACUGGGCGUAAAGGGUGCGCAGGUGGGUUUGCAAGUUCGAUGUGAAAGCCCCGGGCUUAACCCGGGAAUGGCAUUGGAUACUGCAGAUCUGGAGGAUCGGAGGGGGGACUGGAAUUCUUGGUGUAGCAGUGAAGUGCGUAGAUAUCAAGAGGAACACCAGUGGCGAAGGCGGCAUCCUGGACCGAAACUGACGCUGAGGAGCGAAAGCCAGGGGAGCAAACGGG